rnacentral:tRNA from 1 species
GCCCCGGUCGUCUAGCCCGGCCAAGGAUGCGGGACUCUCAAUCCCGAGACGCGGGUUCAAAUCCCGCCCGGGGCA